CUGGUGUCAGCCGCCGCGGUAAUACCAGCUCUCCGAGUGGUGUGGAUGUUUAUUGGGCCUAAAGCAUCCGUAGCUGGCUAGGUUAGUCCCCUGUUAAAUCCACCGAAUUAAUCGUUGGAUUGCGGGGGAUACUGCUUGGCUAGGGGACGAGAGAGGCAGACGGUAUUUCCGGGGUAGGGGUGAAAUCCUAUAAUCCCGGGAAGACCACCAGUGGCGAAGGCUGUCUGCUAGAACGCGCCCGACGGUGAGGGAUGAAAGCUGGGGGAGCGAACCGGAUUAGAUACCCGGGUAGUCCCAGCUGUAAACGAUGCAGACUAGGUGUUUGGACGGCCACGUGCCGUUCUAGUGCCGCAGGGAAGCUGUUAAGUCUGCCGCCUAGGGAGUACGAUCGCAAGAUUGAAACUUAAAG
rnacentral:rRNA from 1 species